rnacentral:rRNA from 1 species
UACGUAGGUGGCAAGCGUUGUCCGGAUUUACUGGGCGUAAAGGGCUUGUAGGCGGUUCGUUAAGUCCGGUGUGAAAUCUCCCGGCUCAACUGGGAGGGGUCAUCGGAUACUGGCGGACUUGAGGUGGGCAGAGGAAAGCAGAAUUCCCGGUGUAGCGGUGAAAUGCGUAGAUAUCUGGAGGAACACCGGUGGCGAAGGCGGCAUCCUGGACCGACACUGACGCUGAGGAGCGAAAGCCAGGGGAGCAAACGGG